UUAUUUCAAUUUCCCAACCGGCCAUUGAAAUGGUUUGACGACGGCGUUGAUGUUGGCCGAUUCAUCAGGGACGGGAAUGAGGAAAGCGAAAUGAUCGUAAAUCCAUGGCAAUGUGAAAUCUACGACCGAAUUGUACUGGAAGCUUGCGCUCGUAUCGUGGACCAACAAAUCGGAUUGCUGUGAAAGAGAAUGGAGCGAACUUAACUUGAUUCCACAAAUAACUAAAAAGUCCUGGUCCUUUUUCUGAUGGCUCAGGUUUGUUUUCCGUCACUCGAACCAUUUCGUACCUGUAUGGAAAAUGAAAUAAGAAUUCGAGAAGCGCUCCUCCUUUGAGUGGUCCAACUAGCCCCUUAGGGUUUCCACUCCAACGUGUCUAUACCGCAUCCAUAUAAUGCCAGAUGACGCGGAUGUGUUGGCCGUUGAGCGUGUUUGGCAUCGAUAAGGAACCGGAAAAAGAAAUGAAGAACCAAAGGGGAAAUAUUACGAAAGCAGGAAUGAAGUCCAGUUUCCUUAUGUGCUAUCUGUUCUAAUUUCGGCUAUUGUUGACACGUCGCUGGAUGUGAACUGAAAAGAUUUCUGGUUUCCAAUCCACCACUUUUGGGGCGGAUUCGGGGAAGUGCGUAAGCUGAUUCUUCACAUGGACCAUCCACAUGUAUACCAACAUUUGGGCAUGUCACCACCGAGAGGGUUUCUUCUACACGGUCCGCCGGGUUGCGGUAAAACGUUGUUGGCUAAUGCCAACGGGAGAUGGGCCGAAGGAUUGUUGCCCAGCUUCUCACCUGCAUGGAUGAUUGCAGAUCCCGGUUUUGGUGAUUGGUGCUAUACCAACAGACCUGGCGCCUUAGAUUCUGCUUAAGAAGAGCUGGCCGCUUCUACAGAGAAAUAUCACCGGGAAUACCAGACCUCGUCACAAGACAAGAAGAUUCUCAAUGUGGUCUUCAAGAACCUCAGCUAAGCUUCAGAUAUGAUGGAGUUGAGAAGUUCUCGGUUUUUAACAUAUUGGAAUACGUCGGAGCUGAUAUGUACUUGUCUUGGCUUCCGAUUCUGGCAUGAGGCAUGAUAGCCGUGAAUAGGUAAAACAGGGGUAUGGAAAGGCUCCAUGCUCCAUGCUCUCUCCAUGCCCAUGGCGGCCCAUGGGUAAUAUAAUGAUUUGACAUUCUGUUUUUCACUUCUCCCCAUAAUUUGACUCUAUCCUUAUUUUAGAACUUUUGAGCUGAUAAUUAAUUUUUCAGAUGGUAAUUUCAGAAAAUUGAGCAGGAUUUUGUAAAAUUCUUUUGUAAGAAAAAAUCGUGGGUUUUAAGGCAACGUUGCUCUUAUUUUACAUUGCAGAUUUGACAACACCUUGAUGACCAGCUGUGACGUCGUCGAGCUAGACUGCUAGACGCUUAGCCCAGUUGACUAUCAUUCUGAGAUUGUUCGAAAUCUUUGUAGGAUGAUUGCUUCACGGUACCUACACUGACCGCUGAGUCGCUGACGGCUGACGUUCGCCAUGAUUUGGAUAGUUGUGAAAGAUGUCCUUCUUCUGAGCACGAAGGAAGUACACCAUGCUGAUUGUAUUUGACACCAUGCAAGCCCUAACAGUUAGGGGAAAGCCACCUCAUUUAUGUUUGACUACUUCUAAAUAUGAAGGGGGUGCUGUAAAAUUUAUGGUCAUGGUUCCUGUCAGAAGUUUUAUAGUGGCUUGCGUUUUAUACUUUGCCAAUUGUGUUUGAGAUUAUGGCUUUUUAAGUAAAGUUUUCUUUUUUUAAAUGUCUGAAGAGAUUGUGUUGUAAAAUCUUAAUAGAACAAAGGGAUUUUGCAUUAUUGAUUUACAGACAAAUAAUGUAUACUAUGGAAAAUCAUAAUUUGUGGCAAUAGUAUUUUACUUAAUACCAGUGACAAUAAGUAAUGCAAUAUACAACAUGAAAUGAUA
rnacentral:lncRNA from 1 species